UAGGUACCCCUCUUUCUGGAUCUCCCCUGCAGAAUUUUACCAUAACCCGUGGUCUGUACUUGUUUGCCAAUGAGCAGACAACUUCAGACAGAGAAGCUACAGGACAGAUUGUGAUGAUAACGAGAUCCCCUAGAGCUCGAAGAGGAAGUGUUGGAAAGGACAGGAUUGGAGGCAAGAAGGUUAGUAAAGAGGCAAUGACAGCUGUGUGACAAGGGCCAGCUCUGGGAGAAUGGCAGUGGGGAUGGAGAACAGGACAACAGGAAAGGAGCAAAAUGAGGAGGCAGAAUCUACAGAAUCUGGUUAUCAAGGGUAGGAGAGAGGAAGAAGUCGAGGAUGAUGUAUGGGUUUCUGACUUAGAAAAGACUAAAGCAGAGAACGUGAGGUGAGAUAGAGUAAGACCUGAGAGAGACCGCGCUACAGAACUAUAAGUUGUACUUUAUUAAGGAGUUAGGUUUUACAAAGGUGUUAAGAAAACAAGAAAUAAAUAUUCAUUAAACAUUUGCCGAGGCCCUAAAUUUCUAAGCUUAGAAGUUCCCCCACCCCACCAAUCACAUUAGAAUAGACAGCUUUAUAGAAACAUAAAGCUAAACAUUUAAA
rnacentral:lncRNA from 10 species